rnacentral:ncRNA from 1 species
UCCCCCCCACCUUUCAGCUGAUGGUUGUUCAUCCAGAUAUGCACAAGGCAGAUUUGAACCAAUCGUCGAUUCCCAGCAGAACAUCAUUGCUUCAAGUGGGAGUUAUAACAAUGGAGUGACAACUAUCCAGGUAUUUGAUGCUUGGCUGAUAAGCCAAUGGUGCGAAGCUACCAUCUGAGGGAUUAUGACUGAACGCCUCUAAGUCAGAAUCCCGCCUGGAAAGCGACGAUGCAUUCGUGCCUCGGCCUCGAGAGGCGUAGCUAGACGGCCGUGUGGCCGUGGAAAGAGCCCGAUUCCGACCCGAGAGGCCGCGGCAAGAGGCGGCCUCGAAGUCGGUGGAUCCUCCUGCUCGAAAGGCGGGGUGCUAAACCAUUCGCAGACGACCUAGUUGAAGAUCGGGGUGUCGUGAUCACUAGAGCAGUACAUCUCACUGCGAUUUGUUGAGAGUAAGCCUCAAGAUCUGUCGGUUUGU